UAGGGGGGUGUUACAUUAUCUGUUGAAUGUUACAUUAUCACUCAAAGUAAAGAUUGAGUGACAGACAGUUCGACAACAAUGGUUUGCUGUCAUGAUCCUCCUCAUCAAUCUGUUUUCACCUAUCCCGCCUUCAGAGGAGGGAGACCAGUGUAAUGAUCUGCAUGAGGUAUUGGGGUCAGUAUUUAUCAGGAAGUGGAAACAGGCUUUUGAGUUCAGGAAGUUCUAGCCACCCCUGAUGCAGAAUGACAGACACCUCUUUCUGUGUUCCAAUCCUGAUCUUGAGGGAAAAACACCAGACAGUCCUAUCCACUGAACUAAACAGCCACCAGACUAUGAUCAGCUGAAAUUAGUAGGUAACAGAAAAGGUUAUAUGCCUACGUGAUAGGUACAUCUCACAGACAGCAUUAGGCAACACUCAGCCUUAUUAGACAACUAAACAAGAUUUACAAACUAGCCAAAAGCAUGCCAUUAACAACAAUUGUAUCUUCCACACCCACAUUUACCCAAAUGGCUAGUUUAUUUAAAGACCCUCUUCCGUAAUCCUUGUCGUUUGUCCAAGACUUCAUCGUGAUUUAAUCUCUGGCUAACACCGGCGGCACCUGCACCCGCAUGCCGGCCGAGGGCUUCAGCCUCGUGUCUUCCUCAUGUCCUAACUAACUAACUGGAUUAAUUACUGGAACUCACUGGGCACACCACAUCAUUUAAACGUGGAAUUUGGGUAAUUUUUGGUUGAGACGUUGAUCAAUGAGAUUUCAACCUUUAUUCGCCCACUUCAAAAAAUAAGCCAGAAGUUUCCCUAUGUAUUAUCACUAUGCUUUGAACCAUCUGAAAAGCACAACCAAAUUCCAAUCUUUGUUACGCUUUCAACCAUUUAAAAGCAAAACAAAGUUCAAAAUGGAAUACAAUGUCAGACAUUUGUAUUUAUAUAAUAACUUCAUGUGUUGUCUCUGUGCUUCAUCUAAUAGCAGAACCAAAUGAUCUGGAUUGCAGUUGAGAUUACAUUAAAAGUACAUGGUGCAAGUGAUCAAUGCAGUUCGAGAUUCUGUACAGAUUAGUAUAGCAAUUGUGAAGACCUCCACUGACCUGUGACCUUUCAUGCCAUCUUGAACAUGCACACUUUCUAUGAUUACAUAACAAGACAAAAAUAGUUACAGUAACUUCAAAAUGUGGCCAUGGAUGUGUUACUCAUUUUAUAAUAAAUGCUGUUACAGUAGUUUGUAAGA